GCCGGGAUCGCCUAGCGGUAUGGCGGUGGCCUCGAGAGCCACUGGGCGUCUCCGCCCGCGUGGGUUCAAAUCCCACUCCCGGCGCCA
rnacentral:tRNA from 1 species